rnacentral:lncRNA from 1 species
AGUUUACAUUACCACUAGCAGUAUAAAAGUGUUCCCUUUUCACCAAAUGCCCCCCAAUAUUUUUUAUUUUUUGCUGUUUUGAUUAUGGUCAUUCUUGCCAGAGUAAGCUGGCAUAGCAUUGUGAGUUUUUGGUUUUUUUUUUUUGAGAUGGAGUCCGCUCUGUCACCAGGCUGGAGUGCAGUGGUGUAACCUUGGCUCACUGCAACUUCCACCUUCUGGGUUCAAGGGAUUCUCCUGCCUCAGCCUCCCGAGUAGCUGGGACUACAGGUGCCCACCACCACUCCCGGCUAAUUUUUGUAUUUUUAGGACAGAUGGAGUUUCACCAUGUUGGCCAGGGUGGUCUUGAUCUCUUGACCUAGUGAUCUACCCGCCUCAGCCUCCCAAAGUGCUGGGAUUUCAGGUGUGAGCCACCGCUCCCAGCCUGACAUUGUGGUUUUGAUUUGCAUUUCCCUGAUCUUUAGUGAUGAUGAGCAUUUUUUCAUGUUUGUUGGCCAUUUUUUAUAUCUCCUUUUGAGAAUUGUCUAUUCAAGUCCUUAGCCCAUUAUUUGAAGGGAUUGGUUUUUUUCCUGUUAAUUUGAGUACCUUGUAGAUUCUGGUUAUUAGUCCUUUCUCAGACGUAUAGAUUGUGAAGAUUUUCUCCCAUUCCAUGGGUUGUCUGUUUACUCUGCUUAUUGUUUCUUUUGCUGUGCCAAAACGUUUUGGCUUGAUUAAGUCUCACCUUUUAAUCUUCAUUUUGUUGUUGUUGCACUUGCUUUUGGGUUCUUGGUCAUGAAGUCUCUGCCUAAGCCAAUGUGUAGAAGGGGUUUUCCAAUGUUACCUUCUAGAAUUUUUAUGGUUGCAGGUCUCAGAUUUAAGUUGACUUUUGUAUAAGGUAAGAGAUGGGAAUUCAGUUUCAUUUCUUGGGAUAUAGCUUGCCAAUUAUCCAAGCACCAUAUGUUGAGUAGGGUGUUCUUUCCCCACUUUAUAUUGUUUGCUUUGUCAAAGACCAGUUGGCUGUAAGUAUUUGAGUUUACUUCUGGGUUCUCUAUUAUGUUUCAUUGGUCUAUGUGCUUAUUUUUAUACCAGUAUUAUGCUGUUUUGCUGACUAUGGGUUUGUAGUAUAGAUUGAAGUCAGGUAAUGUAAUGCCUCCAGAUUUGUUCUUUCUGCUUAGUCUUGCUUUGGCUAUGUGGGCUCGUUUUUUUUUUCCCAUAUGAAUUUUAGAAUUAUCAGGAGCCACCAGGUGCUGCAGCAGCUUUGGGAUAACUUGAGGGCGCAUCCUGGGGAAGAAACACCUCCUGUCCAUGGUGCUAACUGCUGAGGACAGUGCUUCGGCGUGGCUUCUCCGUGGCCCAGCUUCUUUGGGGCGUUUUUCUUUCAUGGUUCAUCCAUAUGGCUCCAAAUGAAAAUUACAUUAAUUAUGGAUGAAGAGUAUUGUGUUGUGCAGAUAUACUGCAGUUUCUUCAUCCCUUCAUCUAUGGAUGGACAGGUUCCACAGUGUUGCCACGGAUGACCUGAUUUCAGUACCCAUGUCUGGCUGAAGAGUAUCUGGUUGUGACUGGAUACUGCAGUUUCUGGAUCUCAUCCUCUGUGGGUGGACAGGUUUCUCCAUCUUGCUGGUAGUGAACUGAUGUCCGGAAGUUUGAUGGCCGAAGAGUAUACCGUUGUGCAUAUAUCCUUCAAUUCCUGAUUUUAUCAUCUGUAGAAAGACAAAAAUCUUCAGACUGAUUUCCACAGUUUGAGAUCUAGUUUGCAUUACCUCCAAGAGAAUAGCCAUGUUUGCUUUUCUCUGCUGCCACACCAGCAUGUUAUGUUUUGACUUAGGACAAAUGGCCACUCUGACCAGCGUGUGAUGGCACCGGUACCUCAUCUCUGAUGAUUGGUGAUGUUGAGCAUUCCCCACGCCUGUUGGAAUGGCAAUCCCUUGGAAAUGUCUUCUCAAUAGUUACUACCCAUAGAGAACAGACCCUCCCAGUCUUCAGUGCACUCUAAAUACUGGCUAAUUCUGGCCAAUGGAAGGCAUCUGUGGAAGAAAAAAGCCUCAGAUCAUGUGCUGUCUGUCUUUAUUCAGUGUGACAUAUUAGGUAAUGGUCACAGACACUCACCAUGGCCCCAGUUUUUAAUAACAUGACCCUGCUUUUGUGUUCCAGUAACUUCUGUUGUUUUCCCAAUCCUAAGUAUGAUAGAAACUUCCUGCUGCUGCUAAUCUCUGGGUUCCAUUUAAAAUCCUUCCAUCACAUGAAUACUAUGCUGUGUUCUAAAUUUUUCCAUAAUUAAAUACUUACAAUUAUUUUUGCCUACUUCUUUUGCCCCUUAGUGAUAUGUUUUAAAAACACUUAUAAUGUGUCACAAUAUAUUUAGCAAAUGUAGGGAAUGACAUUUUUACUUUCGUCAGCAUUUACACUAGCAUUUAUGGAGCGAUGCUAUAUAAAGUAUUUUUAGUAAUUUAAACGUUAUAUAACAGAUAUCCGUUGAUUCCUUUGUUUCUACGUAAAUAAGUAUACUUGAGAUAUUCAGUAAACAGUAUUGAAUACAUGUUUCAUUUGUAUAAUAUAAAAUUAUGAUUAUUCUUUUUAAACAGUACAUCAUAUUUGCUUGUUGGCUUUAUGAUAACUUAGAAAUAAUAUUCUGGAUUAACUGUGUGACUCAUGAGAAGAUUUGUGCAACUAUGUUUCCAAAUUUACUUGAUUUUCAAGACUUACACUAGAACUGUGAGAACAGGGUAAUAAAUAAGCAUAUGUAUUAAUAUCACCUUUGGUCAACUCUUGGGUAGCCCCAACGGUAGUGUAGGAAUUAACGUAAUUUUUCCUACUAAAAGUAUUGGAUUUGUUUUGAGAGACCACAGUUGAAAAUCAUUGACAUACAAAGUUUAAAAAUUGUUAGGUUAAAAAAUUUUAAAUGCAUUUGAAGUGGUUUUAUAGAAAAAUAAUUAUCUAACUUGGUUUAUAUUGACAGGUUGUUUUCUUGGAUAAGAACUAGACGAAGAGAAAGGGAGAUUAGUGAUAAAUGUCCAGGUUUUCAAGUUGAAAAGUAACAAUCAGUGUAUUACAACAGAUGGAUGUGAUGUCAAAUUACAAAUGCUGAAAACGUUAUAUGUAAUCAUGUAGCCAGAGUAAUCAUACAAGGCAAAGAACGGAAAGGCAUCCAAAUAGGAAAGAGGCUGGAAUGCAGUGGCACCAUCUCAGCUCACUGCAACCUCCGCCUCUGGGUUCAAGUGCUGCUCCUGCCUCAGUCUC